rnacentral:rRNA from 1 species
AGUGAACGCUGGCGGUAGGCCUAACACAUGCAAGUCGAACGGCAGCACAGAGGAGCUUGCUCCUUGGGUGGCGAGUGGCGGACGGGUGAGGAAUACAUCGGAAUCUACUUUUUCGUGGGGGAUAACGUAGGGAAACUUACGCUAAUACCGCAUACGACCUACGGGUGAAAGCAGGGGACCUUCGGGCCUUGCGCGAUUGAAUGAGCCGAUGUCGGAUUAGCUAGUUGGCGGGGUAAAGGCCCACCAAGGCGACGAUCCGUAGCUGGUCUGAGGGGAUGAUACGCCACACUGGAACUGGGACACGGGCCAGACUCCUGCGGGAGGCAGCAGUGGGGAAUAGUGGACAAUGGGCGCAAGCCUGAUCCAGCCAUACCGCGUGGGUGAAGAAGGCCUUCGGGUUGUAAAGCCCUUUUGUUGGGAAAGAAAUCCAGCCGGCUAAUACCUGGUUGGGAUGACGGUACCCAAAGAAUAAGCACCGGCUAACUUCGUGCCAGCCGCCGCCGUAACAC